UACGGGGGGGGUAAGCGUUGUUCGGAAUUAUUGGGCGUAAAGGGCGCGUAGGCGGCUUGUUAAGUCAAAGGUGAAAUCCCUCGGCUCAACUGAGGAACUGCCUUUGAAACUAGCGAGCUUGAGGCCGGGAGGGGGUAGCGGAAGUUCCCAGUGUAGCGGUGAAAUGCGUAGAUAUGCGGAGGAACACCGAUGGCGAAGGCGAUCCCCUGGGC
rnacentral:rRNA from 1 species